CACCCUCAGAAGUGCACCAACCCAGGGUAAGAGUUGUUCCGUGAUGUAAAGAGAACCACUGUCGUAAAGAGUGACACGAUCAACAACUGAAACGCUAUGACGGUAGAACUGAAGAUGAUGUGAAGGAUUUUGUCCAUUUCAUUUGGAGCACAUUUGAAGGGUGAAAAAGAAGACAAAGAGGAAGCUUGAGAGACCUGAGCCUGGACACUAGCCAUGGAGGAGGAUUAUAUGAAGAAGAGCAACCCUGACGUCAUAACUAAGCAACACAAAACCAAUGUGGAAAGGGACUACUCUGAGAGCAAGCAAGCCAAUUCGGAGCCAAACGGCUGCAUGCGGUGCUGCAAGAGUACCAAGAAUUGCAUUAUGAGCCCAGAAUGUGGCAGAGCGCUCAGCAUCGCUAAUGUCGUCGCCAUGUGUGGCAUGUGUAUCCGCAUGUGGACAUAGAGAUUUCUUCUGAAUCAUGAACAGUUUGCCUCCUGGUAGCUGCCACCCUGAACUUUGAACAAUAAGCUGCAUCAUGAUUAUGGAAUCUCGAUCAUACAGCUAUUAUAACACACCCUUAGAGUGAACUGCACCUUGUUUUUUCAUCUCUAUCAAUAAGUAAACAUCUUUUGAGUCAUAUUUGACAACAUUGCAGCAUAUCUGCAAGUAAACAAACUAUUACAUUGGAGAAAGGCAACUGAAAUGCAAUUGAAAAUGCAAUGUAAAAAUGUAAUGUAAAAACAGACUCUGCAUAUAUGAAUACUGUAUUAAUUUUUAAUGUAUAGAACGUGUCAAGGAUUUCACAUGGAUGGCAUCCUCAAGCCUCUGUCUUCCCUACAGCUGCUCUGUCCUGGAAUGUGUAUCGGUGACUGAGUAGCUGCAGGUGAACAAUCAGAAAAAGUUGGACCUUGAUUUUAACUCUCCACUACUUCAACAAAAACGUUGGCCCUUAGACACUUUAGUCAUUUUCAAAUGACUUUUCAAUGACAUUCUUCUACAAAUUAUUCAGUAUCUCACAACAAUUGUCAUUUGCAACUAAAGUAAUUAAAUUAAAAACGACUGGUGAUCCUGGAGGUCAUGUUCACUGUCGUUUAGUUUUAGUUGUUUUUUUUUUCAUUUUGUUGACAAUUUAUGUUUUAUUUUUAUUUUUAAAUAAGUUAAGUAAUUUACUCAUGUGUCGUGUCUUCCCCCAGAAUUGUAACGCUUCCCAUUUGCAUAUGAGUAACGGACAAGAGUGGCCUUUUUGGUAUUCUUAACACAUAAGCUCAUGUAUUUUAUUAUUCUCAUAACUGAUUAAAACUUUAUAUCACUUUUUUGUGAACUGAAA